CCGGGCAGGGCUGCGGGAACCUCUGCCCAGACCCUGGGAGAGUGGCCACGAGCCCGCCGCGGGCUCAGCAAAGACCCGGAGGGCCCGAAGAGUUGCUCGGGGUUCGAGGAAAAUGAAAUGACCCAACACUAGAGUCCUGGUUGCUCGCCUGCGGGCCGGAUCUCUCGGCGCGGCCGGAGAUCGACCUGCCGGGCCCCGGACGCUGUCGGCGAUUUCGGGCCCGGGGCAAGCUCGCAGAGCCAGUCCCGGGGUCCGCUCGCCGAGCCCUAGUCUUGGGGUGCGGACGGCCCGCCGCGGGGGGCGCAGCGGCCGAGAGAACCGGGCCGCUGGAGACGAAAGCGCGGGAGUGGCCGCGCUCCCGGCCCCGCGUCUUUCUCCCGGGGCCAAGCCACCCUGUCAUCGCCGGGACAUCGCGGGAUUCCACGCAGCCGGCCGAGGGUUCAAGCCUUCGGCCGGCCUUCCCUGCGUCCCACAGCGCGGUGGACUGGGGCGGCAAUUGGGCUCUUCGUCUGAGCGAGGUCUGGGGUAGAGCGAACGAGCGAGCGAGCCAGCAAGAGAGCAGCCAGGCUCAUCCGGCUCCCGCCGCGCCCCAAGAGGCUCGUCCACCGCAGUACCCUGACUGAACAGAAGGAAGGACAACGCAGAAGAAAGGACCCCAUCCCAACUCUGUCCUGUGGGGUGGAACCCGAAGGAGCUGGCUGACAGUCUCCGCAGCUGCUGUGUCCUCCACUGGAAGUGUCCUCUGCCUCGAAGCAUCCCCCUCUUCCACUGGAAGUUUGUCUUUCUGACUCUGUUCUCCCAUCUUCCCGCUUCUGCCUCCUCAGCUCUCUCACUAAACAUAGCCACAAAGAAACUGGCUGGAUACAGGAAUGAAGGCCAAUAAAGAUGCUCAAGGUAGCUGUGGAGUCUUGAAUAACAAACCCUGUAUGAAACGUAGGGGAUUUUUUGUUGUUAUUUGUUUUGGUUUUUUUUUUUUUUUUCUGCAUAGACAUUGAAAUAAAACCCUGAGGUUGUUUCC
ensembl:processed_transcript AW047730 expressed sequence AW047730